rnacentral:rRNA from 1 species
GACGAACGCUGGCGGCGUGCUUAACACAUGCAAGUCGAACGGAAAGGCCCUGCUUUUGUGGGUUGCUCGAGUGGCGAACGGGUGAGUAACACGUGAGUAACCUGCCCUUGACUUUGGGAUAACUUCAGGAAACUGGGGCUAAUACCGGAUAUGAGCUCCUGCUGCAUGGUGUGGGUUGGAAAGUUUCGGCGGUUGGGGAUGGACUCGCGGCUUAUCCGCUUGUUGGUGGGGUAGUGGCUUACCAAGGCUUUGACGGGUAGCCGGCCUGAGAGGGGUACCGGGCACAUUGGGACUGAGAGACGGCCCAGACUCCUACGGGAGGCAGCAGGGGGGAAUAUUGCACAAUGGGCGGAAGCCUGAUGCAGAAACGCCGCGUGCGGGAUGACGGCCUUCGGGUUGUAAACAGCUUUCGCCUGUGACGAAGCGUGAGUGACGGUAAUGGGUAAAGAAGCACCGGCUAACUACGUG